UAAACUACUUCAUUCCACUGUCUGUUUUGG
rnacentral:piRNA from 1 species